rnacentral:tRNA from 1 species
AUUAGCUCAGUCGGUAGAGCAUUUGACUUUUAAUCAAAGGGUCGAAGGUUCGAAUCCUUCAUG